AAGAUUUAUCGGUAAAGGAUCGGCCCGCGUUGGAUUAGCUAGUUGGUGGGGUAAAGGCCUACCAAGGCGACGAUCCAUAGCUGGUCUGAGAGGAUGAUCAGCCACAUUGGGACUGAGACACGGCCCAAACUCCUACGGGAGGCAGCAGUGGGGAAUAUUGGACAAUGGGCGCAAGCCUGAUCCAGCCAUGCCGCGUGAAUGAUGAAGGCCUUAGGGUUGUAAAGUUCUUUCACCGGAGAAGAUAAUGACGGUAUCCGGAGAAGAAGCCCCGGCUAACUUCGUGCCAGCAGCCGCGGUAAUACGAAGGGGGCUAGCGUUGUUCGGA
rnacentral:rRNA from 1 species